GAUGAACGCUGACAGAAUGCUUAACACAUGCAAGUCUUUGGCGAAGCUGUGCUUGCACAGCCUAGCUAAGGCGGACGGGUGAGUAACGCGUAAGGAACUUGCCCUGCAGUCAGGGAUAACAGACGGAAACGACUGAUAAGACCUGGUAAAGUCAGGCGGACUCAUGUCCAGCCUUAUGAAAAGAGAUGCUGCAGGAGAGCCUUGCGUCCUAUUCGCUUGUUGGUGUGGUAACGUCCCACCAUGGCGAGGAGAGGUAGCCGGCCUGCGAGGGUGGACGGCCAAGAGGGGACUGGGAUACGGCCGUUACUCCUCUGGCAGGCUGCAGUGGAGAAUAUUGGACAAAGGGCGCAACACUGAUCCAGGAAUUCGGUGUGCACGAUGAAGGUGUUCGGAUUGAAAAGGGCUUUCAGCAGGGAAGAAAAAAAUGACGGUACCUGCAGAAGAAGCGACGGCUAAAUACGUG
rnacentral:rRNA from 1 species